UGAGUAACUGCGCUCCUGAGCUGUUGUACCGGUUUUCCAUGGUUUGCUUUAAUCGGCAGGCUGUGGUGGCUGGUGUGUUUACCUUGAAUAAAUCAAAAUGCUCAAGAUAGGCGUCUCGCCUGAAUGACAGUGCAUGGAAUAAUGGAAUAAGACUUCGGUUUAUUCUGUUGGUCUUGAAACCGAUGUAAUGGUUAAGAGGGACUGACGGGGGCAUUUGUAUCGAUGCGUGAGAGGUGAAAUUCUUGGACCGCAUCGAGACAAACUACUGCGAAAGCAUUUGCCAAGAAUGUCUUCAUUAAUCAAGAACGAAAGUCAGAGGAUCGAAGGCGAUUAGAUACCGCCCUAGUUCUGACCGUAAACGAUGCCAACUAGCGAUCAGGCGGUGGCUAUUAAACCCUGCCUGGGAGCUUCCCGGAAACGAAAGUCUUCGGGUUCCGGGGGUAGUAUGGUUGCAAAGCUGAAACUUAAAGGAAUUGACGGAAGGGCACCACCAGGAGUGGAGCCUGCGGCUUAAUUUGACUCAACACGGGAAAACUCACCCGGCCCGGACACUGUAAUGAUUGACAGAUUGAGAGUUCUUUCUUGAUUCGGUGGUUGGUGGUGCAUGGCCGUUCUUAGUUGGUGGAGUGAUUUGUCUGGUUUAUUCCGAUAACGAACGAGACUCUAACCUGCUAAAUAGUUCUGCAGUAGCUUCGCUGCAGCAACUUCUUAGAGGGAUCAGUGG
rnacentral:rRNA from 1 species